AGACGAACCGUCCGAACGUUAUUCGGAAUCACUGGGCUUAAAGGGUGCGUAGGCGGCGCGGAAAGUUGGGUGUGAAAUCCCUCGGCUCAACCGAGGAACUGCGCCCAAAACUACCGUGCUCGAGGGAGAUAGAGGUGAGCGGAACUUAGGGUGGAGCGGUGAAAUGCGUUGAUAUCCUAAGGAACACCGGUGGCGAAAGCGGCUCACUGGAUCUCUUCUGACGCUGAGGCACGAAAGCUAGGGUAGCGAACGGGAUUAGAUACCCCGGUAGUCCUAGCCGUAAACGAUGAGCACUGGAUUGGAGGGUCCUCCAUAGCCUUCCAGUCGCAACGAAAGCGUUAAGUGCUCCGCCUGGGGAGUAUGGUCGCAAGGCUGAA
rnacentral:rRNA from 1 species